CCAGUAGUCAUAUGCUUGUCUCAAAGAUUAAGCCAUGCAUGUCUAAGUAUAAGCAAAUUUAUACCGUGAAACUGCGAAUGGCUCAUUAAAUCAGUUAUCGUUUAUUUGAUAGUACCUUACUACUUGGAUAACCGUGGUAAUUCUAGAGCUAAUACAUGCUAAAAGCCCCGACUUCGGAAGGGGUGUAUUUAUUAGAUAAAAACCAACGCCCUUCGGGGCUCCUUGGUGAAUCAUAAUAACUUAACGAAUCGCAUGGCCUUGCGCCGGCGAUGGUUCAUUCAAAUUUCUGCCCUAUCAACUUUCGAUGGUAGGAUAGUGGCCUACCAUGGUGGCAACGGGUAACGGGGAAUUAGGGUUCGAUUCCGGAGAGGGAGCCUGAGAAACGGCUACCACAUCCAAGGAAGGCAGCAGGCGCGCAAAUUACCCAAUCCCGAUACGGGGAGGUAGUGACAAUAAAUACUGAURCRGGGCUCUUUUGGGUCUYGUAAUUGGAAUGAGWACAAUUUAAAUCCCUUAACGAGGAACAAUUGGAGGGCAAGUCUGGUGCCAGCAGCCGCGGUAAUUCCAGCUCCAAUAGCGUAUAUUAAAGUUGUUGCAGUUAAAAAGCUCGUAGUUGAACCUUGGGYCUGGCUGGCCGGUCCGCCUCACCGCGWGYACUGGUCCGGCUGGACCUUUCCUUCUGGGGAACCUCAUGGCCUUCACUGGCUGUGGGGGGAACCAGGACUUUUACUGUGAAAAAAUUAGAGUGUUCAAAGCAGGCCUUUGCUCGAAUACAUUAGCAUGGAAUAAUAGAAUAGGACGUGCGGUUCUAUUUUGUUGGUUUCUAGGACCGCCGUAAUGAUUAAUAGGGAUAGUCGGGGGCGUCAGUAUUCAGCUGUCAGAGGUGAAAUUCUUGGAUUUGCUGAAGACUAACUACUGCGAAAGCAUUCGCCAAGGAUGUUUUCAUUAAUCAGGGAACGAAAGUUAGGGGAUCGAAGACGAUCAGAUACCGUCGUAGUCUUAACCAUAAACUAUGCCGACUAGGGAUCGGGCGGUGUUUCUAUAAUGACCCGCUCGGCACCUUACGAGAAAUCAAAGUUUUUGGGUUC
rnacentral:rRNA from 1 species